CAUUAUACCGUGAAACUGCGAAUGGCUCAUUAAAUCAGUUAUCGUUUAUUUGAUAGUACCUUACUACUUGGAUAACCGUGGUAAUUCUAGAGCUAAUACAUGCUGAAAACCCCAACUUCGGGAGGGGUGUAUUUAUUAGAUAAAAAACCAACGCCCUUCGGGGCUUCUUGGUGAUUCAUGAUAACUUUACGGAUCGCAUGGCCUUGCGCCGGCGACGGUUCAUUCAAAUUUCUGCCCUAUCAACUUUCGAUGGUAAGGUAUUGGCUUACCAUGGUUUCAACGGGUAACGGGGAAUUAGGGUUCGAUUCCGGAGAGGGAGCCUGAGAAACGGCUACCACAUCCAAGGAAGGCAGCAGGCGCGCAAAUUACCCAAUCCCGACACGGGGAGGUAGUGACAAUAAAUACUGAUACAGGGCUCUUUUGGGUCUUGUAAUUGGAAUGAGUACAAUUUAAACCUCUUAACGAGGAACAAUUGGAGGGCAAGUCUGGUGCCAGCAGCCGCGGUAAUUCCAGCUCCAAUAGCGUAUAUUAAAGUUGUUGCAGUUAAAAAGCUCGUAGUUGAACCUUGGGUCUGGCUGGCAGGUCCGCCUCACCGCGUGUACUUGUCCGGCCGGGCCUUCCUUCUGGAGAACCUCAUGCCCUUCACUGGGCGUGUUGGGGACCAGGACUUUUACUUUGAAAAAAUUAGAGUGUUCAAAGCAGGCCUUUGCUCGAAUACGUUAGCAUGGAAUAAUAGAAUAGGACGUGCGGUCCUAUUUUGUUGGUUUCUAGGACCGCCGUAAUGAUUAAUAGGGACAGUCGGGGGCAUCAGUAUUCAAUUGUCAGAGGUGAAAUUCUUGGAUUUAUUGAAGACUAACUACUGCGAAAGCAUUUGCCAAGGAUGUUUUCAUUAAUCAGUGAACGAAAGUUAGGGGAUCGAAGACGAUCAGAUACCGUCGUAGUCUUAACCGUAAACUAUGCCGACUAGGGAUCGGGCGAUGUUCUUUUUCUGACUCGCUCGGCACCUUACGAGAAAUCAAAGUUUUUGG
rnacentral:rRNA from 1 species